rnacentral:rRNA from 1 species
AUUGAACGCUGGCGGCAGGCCUAACACAUGCAAGUCGAGCGGUUGAAGGGCUCUUGCUCCUGGAUUCAGCGGCGGACGGGUGAGUAAUGCCUAGGAAUCUGCCUGGUAGUGGCGUAUAACUUCCUGACACGGUCGCUAAUACCGCAUUCGUCCUGAGUGUGAAUGUGGGGGAUCUUCGGACCUCACGCUAUCUUAUUACCCUAGGUCGGAUUAGCUCGUUGGUGGGGUAAAGGCCUACCAAGGCGACGAUCCGUAACUGGUCUGAGAGGAUGAUCAGUCACACUGGAACUGAGACACGGUCCAGACUCCUACGGGAGGCAGCAGUGGGGAAUAUUGGACAAUGGGCGGAAGACUGAUCAAGCAAUGACGCGUGUGUGAAGAAGGUCUUCGGAUUGUAAAGAACUUUAAGUGGGGAGGAAGGGCAGUAAGUUAAUACCUUGCUGUUUUGACGGUACCAACAGAAUAAGCACCGGCUAACUUCGUG